rnacentral:rRNA from 1 species
AUUGAACGCUGGCGGCAGGCCUAACACAUGCAAGUCGAACGGUAACAGGAAGCAGCUUGCUGCUUUGCUGACGAGUGGCGGACGGGUGAGUAAUGUCUGGGAAACUGCCUGAUGGAGGGGGAUAACUACUGGAAACGGUAGCUAAUACCGCAUAACGUCGCAAGACCAGAGAGGGGGACCUUAGGGCCUCUUGCCAUCGGAUGUGCCCAGAUGGGAUUAGCUAGUAGGUGGGGUAACGGCUCACCUAGGCGACGAUCCCUAGCUGGUCUGAGAGGAUGACCAGCCACACUGGAACUGAGACACGGUCCAGACUCCUACGGGAGGCAGCAGUGGGGAAUAUUGCACAAUGGGCGCAAGCCUGAUGCAGCCAUGCCGCGUGUAUGAAGAAGGCCUUCGGGUUGUAAAGUACUUUCGGCGGGGAGGAAGGGAGUAAAGUUAAUACCUUUGCUCAUUGACGUUACCCGCAGAAGAAGCACCGGCUAACUCCGUG